CUCAAUCAUCAGUUCCCCCUUACAUGACUAUUCACAAAUCCAUCUUCCCACACAUGACGAUUGAAGCUUCCUUAUUAAAUCCAUCUCCAAAUGACGAUUGAAGCUUCCAAUGAGAUUCAAAUCCAUCUUCCCAAUAUAUACGUUUAGGGAUUUCUUAUUGUCCAACUAUUGCUUUCAUCUCCAUCGCUCCUACCUCAGUGUUGCUUGUUGUCGAUUACAAAAUUCUUCAUCUUCUACUCUCAUUUGUCCCUCAUCAAGAAGCAAUCCUCAAAACCUGAAAGGAUGAGACCUAGCAUCGUAGUUAUAUGACAAAAUCUUGUGAUAUUAGUUAAGUUUUCAGGUUUGGUUUUAAUAGAUUAAUGGUAUAGCUACUGUUGUUGAUUUUAGUUUUCAGGUUUGGUUUUAAUAGAUUAAUGGUAUAGCUAUUGUUGUUGAUUUUAGUUUUCAGGUUUGGUUUUAAAGGAUUGGGAAUUCAGCAGCUUUAUUUCAAGUCAACUGGUAUAUACAACAUGCAAUGGCAAAAUGCUUGGAUCAUCCCUGCCUUCUGGCAAGUUUUGUCGUUCUCUCUUCUCUGUGUCAUCUGUGCUCUUUGGGCACCAUCUCAUAAUUCAAUGCGGAGCAAUAGAGGAGGAUGGAGAAGCAAAGAAGCAGAAGAUGUUUAAUUCAAGUAAACCUGUAAAUAAAUAAGGUUAUAAUAUGCCUCUAACCUCUGUAUUUGAUCUAUGUUUAUUUAUUUUAUUGUGUUUAGGAGUGAUGAACCUCCAACUACAAAGUCUACUUUAUCUUUUAGGAAGAGUUCCAGAUGACUUAAAAAUAAGACCAAUUAAUUCAUACUAACAACUAUAUCCAUACAAGGUAUAAUUUCGUGUUUUUGCCUUCAUUGUGAGUGUGUUGGCUAAGGAGAAAUGAUGUUUUCGACUUCUUUAAUAGAAUUUGAAUGUUUCUUUUUGAGUUUACGUUAAUAUUGUUGUUCCAUAGGGAGGUUGUUGCAAAAUAUGUGACGGUGUGACACAUUUUGCUAAAGCUUGUGCAGAUAAAGGCAUUAGAAAUUCCAGCAUGUACAUUGAAUCCGGUAAAAAAAGGUGUAAGAAUCCUUCACCAAUUGGAAAGAAUUGUUGUCUAUUUUGGAGUUAUUGGUUUGAUAUGAUAUUUGAUUCAAUACUUGAAUGUGUUAUUCUGGAUGAUAGCAAUUGUAAUUGAAUCGACGGCGACAAGGAAGUGGUUCACUUUGUGGUUAAAAUUAAAACUUCAAAUC